CUCCAGCAGCUCCAGUGGCAUUGGGUUUGGGGAAAUUUCCAUGCUCUGAUCCUGGCUUUAUCCAAGGAUAAUGAUGCUUAUCCACUGCACACAGCCUAUCAGAGGCUUCAUUUAUCAGCAUUUGUCGGGGGCUUUGAAAUCUUGAAUAAGUGAGGCUGUCGAAGUGCAGGUGAUUAAAUGUGGCCAGCCACCAGACUGUGUGGAAAAUGAGCUCUGCUAGCAUGCAUUUGCUGCCACAGCAGCCAGAGCGUGUCCUGGCCUUGAGUACUGGGGCAGCCCAUCUCUGCUCUGUCCCUUUGGGCAGCCCUGUCCACCUGCUUACGUGGAAACUCCUUCAGAGCCCUCCCAACAUUGUAUGAAAGGGAAAUGAUCCUCUGAGGGAAAAGAAGCUAUCAUAGUAUUGCGCAUCCAUGUAGUCAGGGCCUUUUCUUGUUCAAUACAUUCACACACAAAUCUUUAGUCUGAUUUUUGUGUCCUCACUGAAGGCGAUGGGCAGUAGCAGAUUAUUUUUUAAAAUUUUGUUUCCAGAAUGAUAUCUUCCCUGAUGCCAUGCAAGCUUUCACAAAGUACCAGCCUGCAGCUGCUGCAACACCACACACAUCCAAAAUGGGUCUUAUGACUUCCACCAAAGACUUCUCCUUAAUUUAGUUACUAAAGACACUUGUGUCAUGUCAUUGGGCUCAUUUCCCCAGCCUUGCCCCUCAUUAUUAGAUGAACCUGAGCAUCCCAUGUACAGCCUUUAAGAGCAGAAAGCAGGGUGCAUUAGGGUUUGGCUGAAAUGUCCUGGUCUUCCUGCUCUAAGGUCUUGCUACUCAGCAACUGCUUGGGAUGGGUCUACGUUACAGCAGAUUAUUCAAGAAAGGGCAUAAUACCCAAGCUGAUGAUUGAAUCCCCCAUGGUCUGGAUUAAUUUGGCCUUUGGGCUUUUGUGCCCAGUCCUAGCACAUCAAUGCAUCUGGUGGCCUGCUCCAUGGCUAGUUAAUGGAGAUGGGCUGUGCUUAUUCUUCAGUGAGACAUCUUCUAUGUUACAACAAGGAAAAACCCUGAGUCAUGGGCAUGUCCAAUAAUGCACUGUAGAAUCAAUUUCCUGGUCAGCUGACUGGGGCAAAAGACUGGGGCAAAAUCCAAAGAGCUGCCACUAAAACCAGUGCCUGUGGCCAACAUCCGAGAUGUCCUGAGUCUUCUAGGAUGGACUGCAGAAAGAAAAGCAGCUUUUCAGCACAAAAUUUACACAUUUUUUCAUGCUUUUUCUUGUCCAUGCUGACAUGGCUUAUGAGAAUGUUAGGACACUCUAGGGAUGGAAGUAGAAAUUCAAGCUGUAAUCCUUGCAGUUUUAGACAUUUUAAAAAUAUCAGUGCAUCACAAGAGUAACUGACCUUUCCAGGUCCAAGAUGCUGGUUGUGUGUGAAAGGAAAGGUCAGAAAGAAUGGAGGAAGUCUUGAUACUGAUCUCCAUCAAAUUCAACAGCAAAACUUAGUGGCUGCUGGAAAUGAGACCUUGAAGUGUCUCCUGCUGAAAUGCUCUGAGAAUAUUUUGAAAACUGAAUUAAUAAAUAAUUGAACCAUCUGCAUCAGUCUGUAAGUGGAGUGACACAUGGAGGGUGUCUGUAAAUGGAACAGCUUCAAAUAUGCAGGGUAAAAUACACAUUGGAAUGGAUUUUUUUCCUUAAAAGACAUAAUUAUUAUCAAUUUGGGUCUAUAUUGCAAGCACAAUGAGAGGCCCUGCCUGAGAAAUGGGUUGUUUUCUCCUAAGAAAUGAACACACAAGUGGUAAAAUAUUGUUCCUGCCCUACAGGGGUUACCAUCGUAUUAAUAAAACAGACCAGGGUCAAGAAAAAUACCAAGGAAAUGGUUUGCCUGAGGCCACACAGCAGAUCAGCCUCCCAUUUCCUAGAGUCCAGCUGGGCUCCUUGUCUUUUUGACAGAAGACCAUGUUGCUGCUAAAGCUGCUAAUAUCUGUUGAAUCUCCUCCCAUCACCACCAGGCACCUUCUGCCCUGGACUGCAAAACUGCAUUUUAAUUAGCAUCCCUCUUGGGGCUGCAGUAGUGGUUGGAGCUGAUGUUUCACACCAGCAAUCUUUGUAAGAA